UGUGGAACCUCUUUGGACUGUCCACAGCAGCUGACUAUGAUUUGCCUCAUGCUCUAGCAGAGGCAAGGUUUUACCUGCUGUAGAUAGUUUCUACAAUUGUGUAAUGUUUGGAAUUCUAGGAAGUUUUCAGAGGGUAUAGAAAUGCUAGAGCUCCUUUAGGCGGGGAGGGUGGCUGUUGUUCAUUUAAUGAGGUUGGUUGAAGUUUUUUAGUAGCAUGGUCAAGAAGAAACAAUUUAGAUGCAGAGAUUUUGCUAAUUUCUCUCUCUCCUCUCUCCGUGUUUCUCUCCUUUCUAGUGUUAGGGGUUGAAACAGGGAUUAAUGGGUAGGAAAAAGAAGAACCCCUGAAGAAGGAAAGACAGGCUACGCUGAUCAGCAUCUGGAUUAGAUGUGCCUUUAACUUACAUCUUCAGGCCUGGUUGGAUUUGUCAGGAUAUAAGGACAUUGAAAAUCAAUGAUUCCAGAACAAUCACGAGGACUUCUAGCACACCCAGACUGAUCUGCAGAAAAAUUGAAUCCAUUUCCUGGAAAAGGUAAUUUUUAAUUAACCCUUUCAUCCAAUAAGCACAAACAGUAAAAAUGCAGUGACUAAGUCAUCAAAAAAUAUAGCAGAAGGGAGAGUCCUUACUUUAAGGAAUUAAAAAAAUCUAACUGAGGAUAAAAUGCAACGGAUGAGAGCUCAUCUUGGCAAGGACUGUCCAAAGACACAGGACUUAAUUCUGAGAAUGUGAUUUCUAAGGGGAAAAGAAAAUGGGGUGGUUGUUGGCAGCACAUGCUGCCAAGAUUGACCAUCUGGCUGCCCAUGACCUGUGAUGUGUAUCUGCACAAUCAAUCAAUCAACCAAUCAGUAAAUAAAUGGAAACAAAGUUUAACGGGGAACCAGGAGUAACUUAAGGAUUUUUCUCAACCAAUUUUUUUCAUUGUUGUAGAAGUCCCAUUCAAUGCAGCAAGAUCAGAGAAUAUGGAGUGGAGAGAUGGCUCAGUCAUGAAGAGCACGUAUUGUUAUGGAAGAGGACCUGAUUUCAAUUCCCAGCACCCACCUUGGUGGCUCACAACUGGCUGUAACUCCAGUUCCACAGAAUCUACCACCCUUGAUUUACCUUCUCACGGACCAAUGAGUGCACGUGUGGACAUGUCCACAGGAUUUUCUGUAGCCUGUGAGGAAGUCCUAGAUUUAGGACACUGGAUCUGUACACCUUAGAGAAUUAACCACUUCACUGCAUUUUUUUUUGU
rnacentral:sRNA from 1 species